CAUGCAAGUCGAACGCACAGCGAAAGGUGCUUGCACCUUUCAAGUGAGUGGCGAACGGGUGAGUAACACGUGGACAACCUGCCUCAAGGCUGGGGAUAACAUUUGGAAACAGAUGCUAAUACCGAAUAAAACUUAGUGUCGCAUGACAAAAAGUUAAAAGGCGCUUCGGCGUCACCUAGAGAUGGAUCCGCGGUGCAUUAGUUAGUUGGUGGGGUAAAGGCCUACCAAGACAAUGAUGCAUAGCCGAGUUGAGAGACUGAUCGGCCACAUUGGGACUGAGACACGGCCCAAACUCCUACGGGAGGCUGCAGUAGGGAAUCUUCCACAAUGGGCGAAAGCCUGAUGGAGCAACGCCGCGUGUGUGAUGAAGGCUUUCGGGUCGUAAAGCACUGUUGUAUGGGAAGAACAGCUAGAAUAGGAAAUGAUUUUAGUUUGACGGUACCAUACCAGAAAGGGACGGCUAAAUACGUGCCAGCAGCCGCGGUAAUACGUAUGUCCCGAGCGUUAUCCGGAUUUAUUGGGCGUAAAGCGAGCGCAGACGGUUUAUUAAGUCUGAUGUGAAAGCCCGGAGCUCAACUCCGGAAUGGCAUUGGAAACUGGUUAACUUGAGUGCAGUAGAGGUAAGUGGAACUCCAUGUGUAGCGGUGGAAUGCGUAGAUAUAUGGAAGAACACCAGUGGCGAAGGCGGCUUACUGGACUGCAACUGACGUUGAGGCUCGAAAGUGUGGGUAGCAAACAGGAUUAGAUACCCUGGUAGUCCACACCGUAAACGAUGAACACUAGGUGUUAGGAGGUUUCCGCCUCUUAGUGCCGAAGCUAACGCAUUAAGUGUUCCGCCUGGGGAGUACGACCGCAAGGUUGAAACUCAAAGGAAUUGACGGGGACCCGCACAGCGGUGGAGCAUGUGGUUUAAUUCGAAGCAACGGCGAAGAACCUUACCAGGUCUUGACAUCCUUUGAAAGCUUUUAGAAGAUUAGAAGUGUUCUCUUCGGA
rnacentral:rRNA from 1 species